rfam:Chaetura pelagica isolate M959 contig50903, whole genome shotgun sequence.
ACCAAGGCUCUUUUCAGAGCCACCCACAACUUUCACACUGAGAGCU